ensembl:lncRNA
UGUCAAACCGUAUAGGGUCCAGAGUUUUCCUAGUUAGGUUAACAUAUAAGGAAAAACUCCACGCCCCAGGGGGUAAAAAUUGCCCCACCGCUCUGGGACCUUGCAGUUGUCAGUUAUCAUCAGCUAAGUCCUCUCCUGUUCCCUGAUUAUUAAGAGGUGAUGACUACUCCACUCCACUACCUUUGUCAACUUUCUCCUGACAUGAACUGAAGCCAUGUCAAAUCCUGUCCUGCACUGGUCAAGCCUCUGAACACCUCAACUCAUGCCUCAUACCCUCAUUCAAUCACUGCUGUGAUCCCUUUCCAACACGGUUCGCCUCCAAAGCUGUUUUAAAGAAUUUGGCAGUACGUCCAACCGACCUCACAACCGCAGACCACGUGUAACCACGCCAGGCCAGGACCUCCACCUUCUUCAGCUGAGGGACCAUAUGAGACCAUCCACCCGGACAGCUGAUGAAACUGAGGAGAAUUUACGUCUGUAAUAAUGCCCUUUUGUGGGGAAAAACUAAUGUUGAUUGGCUGGGCCCUGUUCCCCACUGGUUGGGCCUAGAGCCCAAGUGGGUGGGCCUAUGCCCUCCCAGGGCCACCCGUGGUGGCGGCCAUGCCCAGGAAUGUGAAAUGCAUAGAUAAGGGCCUAAUUAAUUGAUUUCAACUGACUGAUUUCCUUAUAUAAACUGUAACUCAGUAAAAUCA